rnacentral:lncRNA from 1 species
CAUGAGGGCAGGUGUACCCCGUGCAUGCUCCAGAUUUAGGUAUGUGCCUGAAACUGGUUAUACUGUGAAUGUAAGUAUUUUGCCUGCAUAGUUUCUACAGCUGCCAUUGCUGUGAACCAAUGCAUGAUUUUAAAGUAAGUAAAUCUUAUUUGAAACUUACUUCCCAAGUUGUUUCCUGAUUCUUUGUGAAGCAGGGUGAGAAAGGGAGAGCCACUUUACUUCAUAGCUGGGCUUGCUUAAAACAAUAUUUUACAAUCUAUUUCCUGUGCUUUUAAUUUUUGCUGUCCACGGUGGGAUUUUAAAACUCUAUUUAGCCCACAUAUGUGGGAGCCUGGAGGGAUAAAUUGCAAUUACCUACCUAUUAAAACCCAUCCCACAGUAUGUGUGUGAGCGAAAGGUGUGGUGGGGAAGGAGAGGAGGAAUAGUUCUGUUGCACUAGCAGGGGUCCUUGCGCUGGCUUCUGUGGGUGCAAAUACAUGGUUGAUUCCAACUCAUGGUCUUUAGAAGAGGCUCAGCUGUCAUGAUUAAAAUACAACUAGGAGGGUGAUCUUUAUUUACUGCUGUAGCAGGAUUCCCCCACUCUCACCGCCACAAUGAAGAGAGAAGACCCCCAUCUAACAAGGGAACAUACCGGUACUUUAUAUAGUGCUUUAAAUUUAAAAUACAUGAAACUACACUUCCAUUGGUUACAUCACAAUACAGUGGGAAGAUCUUCCAGUUAAAUCCACUCUCUGUGUUACCAGCAUGUUUAGCUGUACACUUAUCCAAACAAAACCUUUUGCAAACUUUUGAUGUUGCUCUUUCUGCCUCUCCCAAACAAGAUCCUUUCAAUGAGUGUAACACUGUUAUUUCAUGUGCAAGCUCCUCUUCCAAAGAUAAGAGGACCGUGAGCGAUUCAGAACAUUUCUCUCAUGUUCCCUUAAUGCCUUGAAAACCAAGGCUCCCUAACAACACAGCUUCAGGGUUUUAGAAUGGGAAGGGAAGGGUUUUUCUCUUUAUAAGGGCAACGCUAAGCAGAAGCAGUAGGGCCAACUUAUUUAACCGUGCAAGUUGUUGUUUGUCAGAAGCCUUUUUGUUUCAUAUAUGCAUAGUUAAUGCUUUUAAAACACGUCUCCAACUCUCAAAUUCUAUGCUAUCAUUUCAUUAUUAGUAAAGCUGUGUUUUUGAAGUUUUUGGCUUUCCGCAGGAGAUUUAGCCUGGGAAAAGUUUGAGCUAACCACAUUCCAGAGGUGGGAGGUGUGUAAGAGUUUGAGAGUGGUUUUAGCUUACAGGAAGGGUGAAGAAAGGUGAUGCAGGCAAUCUGAAUUCUUCUCUACUUUAAGAGAAGUUCCUAUGCAUGUGGAGAGACCAGUUUGGCUGUUUCUUAGUAAAGACUCAGGUUAUCGAGCCUGGGCUUCCACAGCCACCACCCACCAUGAACCACCAUUCGCAGGAUUGGCAACAACAGCUGCAGAUGUGUUCUAUCUUCAUGAAUAUUCUCUUGCUAAUUAUGUUGUUUUAAAUGUACAUUUUAUAUUUGACUUCCUUUAGUCAUGUUUUCUUUUGCAACGUUAAAGUAUUCCCCCCCCCCCCCGUUAACUUUGCUGCAUUUAAUGUGCAUUCUGUACUUUACCUCUUUUCACAGAAUCAUAGAUUUGCAGAGUUGGAAAAGACUCUGAGAGUCAUCUAGUCCGACCCUCUACAAUGCAGGAAUCUCAGCUAGAUCAUACAUGACAGAUGGCUACAUCUAUUCUUCAGACUGCAUCAAUUUAAUGUUUUGCUUUGAAAUCUUUUAGAUAAUAUUUUAGUAUCCUGUUAAUUAUAUUGCUUUGGAUGUACUUUAUAGUUGACUUUCUUCUGUAAUAUUUUAUUUUGGAUUGCUUUGUGACAUGUUUUGUGCCAUGUUUUAAUGUGGGUAGUAAAAUUUAUUUAUUUUUAAAAAUGAAGCAGUAUAGAAAUGAAAUAAAAAUAAUAAAAAUAUCAAGAUGAUCAAAACCUGGAUCUUGGCAGGGAAGAAUGCUGUUUUCUCAAGCCAAUUGGCAUUAUGGAUUCUGGGCGGG